rnacentral:rRNA from 1 species
UACGGGGGGAGCAAGCGUUGUUCGGAUUUACUGGGCGUAAAGGGCGCGUAGGCGGUCAGCACAAGUCAGUUGUGAAAUCUCCGAGCUUAACUCGGAACGGUCAACUGAUACUGUGCGACUAGAGUGCGGAAGGGGCAACUGGAAUUCUCGGUGUAGCGGUGAAAUGCGUAGAUAUCGAGAGGAACACCUGCGGCGAAGGCGGGUUGCUGGGCCGACACUGACGCUGAUGCGCGAAAGCCAGGGGAGGCGAACGGG